rnacentral:rRNA from 1 species
CCUACGGGAGGCAGCAGUGAGGAAUAUUGGACAAUGGGCGCAAGCCUGAUCCAGCCAUGCCGCGUGCAGGAAGACGCAUCUAUGGUGUGUAAACUGCUUUUGUACGGGAAGAAACACUCCCUCGUGAGGGAGCUUGACGGUACCGUAAGAAUAAGGAUCGGCUAACUCCGUGCCAGCAGCCGCGGUAAUACGGAGGAUCCAAGCGUUAUCCGGAAUCAUUGGGUUUAAAGGGUCCGUAGGCGGUUUAAUAAGUCAGUGGUGAAAGCCCAUCGCUCAACGAUGGAACGGCCAUUGAUACUGUUAGACUUGAAUUACUAGGAAGUAACUAGAAUAUGUAGUGUAGCGGUGAAAUGCUUAGAUAUUACAUGGAAUACCAAUUGCGAAGGCAGGUUACUACUAGUGGAUUGACGCUGAUGGACGAAAGCGUGGGGAGCGAACAGGAUUAGAUACCCUGGUAGUCCACGCCGUAAACGAUGGAUACUAGCUGUUGGGCGCAAGUUCAGUGGCUAAGCGAAAGUGAUAAGAUCCCACCUGGGGAGUACGUUCGCAAGAAUGAAACUCAAAAUGAAUUGACGGCUGAGACGAGACGAGAGACGACGAGGGAGGAGG